AUUGAACGCUGGCGGCAGGCCUAACACAUGCAAGUCGAGCGGAUGAAGGGAGCUUGCUCCUGGAUUCAGCGGCGGACGGGUGAGUAAUGCCUAGGAAUCUGCCUGGUAGUGGGGGAUAACGUCCGGAAACGGGCGCUAAUACCGCAUACGUCCUGAGGGAGAAAGUGGGGGAUCUUCGGACCUCACGCUAUCAGAUGAGCCUAGGUCGGAUUAGCUAGUUGGUGGGGUAAAGGCCAACCAAGGCGACGAUCCGUAACUGGUCUGAGAGGAUGAUCAGUCACACUGGAACUGAGACACGGUCCAGACUCCUACGGGAGGCAGCAGUGGGGAAUAUUGGACAAUGGGCGAAAGCCUGAUCCAGCCAUGCCGCGUGUGUGAAGAAGGUCUUCGGAUUGUAAAGCACUUUAAGUUGGGAGGAAGGGCAGUAAGCUAAUACCUUGCUGUUUUGACGUUACCAACAGAAUAAGCACCGGCUAACUUCGU
rnacentral:rRNA from 1 species